CUGGUCACUUGCUAACAGCUGUGUGCCUGUCAUGCUCCCGUUAUGAUUUUAUCAGGGGAAAGUUCAAAUGAGUCAAGACUAACAAAAGAUAGUACUACAUUGUUAUGGAAAUUGCUCUGGAUUGGGGCUAGAUAA
rnacentral:lncRNA from 1 species